GAUUAGCUCAGCUGGGAGAGCACCUGCCUUACAAGCAGGGGGUCGGCGGUUCGAUCCCGUCAUCCUCCACCA
rnacentral:tRNA from 3 species